rnacentral:rRNA from 1 species
GGGGCAACCUGCCCCCUAGCUCUGGGAUAACUCCCGGGGAAACCGGGGCUAAUACCGGAUACGACCUCCUGCGGCAUCUCGGGAGGUGGAAAGAAUUUCGGCUAGGGAUGGGCCCGCGGCCUAUCAGCUUGUUGGCGGGGUAACGGCCCACCAAGGCGACGACGGGUAGCCGGCCUGAGAGGGCGACCGGUCACGUUGGAACUGAGACACGGCCCAGACUCCUACGGGAGGCA